rnacentral:misc_RNA from 1 species
GAUGAAGAACGUAGUGAAAUGCGAUAAGUAGUGUGAAUUGCAGAAUUCAGUGAAUCAUCGAAUCUUUGAACGCACAUUGCGCCCCAUGGUAUUCCGUGGGGCAUGCCUGUUCGAGCGUCAUUUACCCCCUCAAGCUCCGCUUGGUGUUGGGCGUCUGUCCCGCUUCGCGCGCGUACUCGCCCCAAAGGUAUUGGCAGCGGUCGUGCCAGCUUCUCGCGCAGCACAUUGCGCUUCUCGAGGCACCGGUGGGCCCGCGUCCAUCAAGCUCACCCCCCCAGUUUGACCUCGGAUCAGGUAGGGAUACCCGCUGAACUUAAGCAUAUCAAUAAGCGGAGGA